UACGAAGGGGGCUAGCGUUGCUCGGAAUGACUGGGCGUAAAGGGCGCGUAGGCGGCGGUCACAGUCAGAUGUGAAAUUCCUGGGCUUAACCUGGGGGCUGCAUUUGAUACGUGGUUGCUUGAGUGGGGAAGAGGGUCGUGGAAUUCCCAGUGUAGAGGUGAAAUUCGUAGAUAUUGGGAAGAACACCAGUGGCGAAGGCGGCUCACUGGCCCGGUACUGACGCUGAGGUGCGAAAGCGUGGGGAGCAAACAGG
rnacentral:rRNA from 1 species